AACGAACGCUGGCGGCAUGCCUAACACAUGCAAGUCGAACGAGACCUUCGGGUCUAGUGGCGCACGGGUGCGUAACGCGUGGGAACCUGCCCUUAGGUUCGGAAUAACUCCCCGAAAGGGGUGCUAAUACCGGAUAAUGUCUUCGGACCAAAGAUUUAUCGCCUUUGGAUGGGCCCGCGUUGGAUUAGCUAGUUGGUAGGGUAAAAGCCUACCAAGGCGACGAUCCAUAGCUGGUCUGAGAGGAUGAUCAGCCACACUGGGACUGAGACACGGCCCAGACUCCUACGGGAGGCAGCAGAGGGUAAUAGUGGACAAUGGGCGAAAGCCUGAUCCAGCAAGGCCGCGUGAGUGAUGAAGGCCGUAGGGUUGUAAAGCUCUUUUACCCGGGAUGAUAAUGACAGUACCGGGAGAAUAAGCGCCGGCUAACUCCGUG
rnacentral:rRNA from 1 species